rnacentral:rRNA from 1 species
GAUGAACGCUAGCGGCAGGCCUAACACAUGCAAGUCGAGGGGUAACAUAGAAAAGCUUGCUUUUCUGAUGACGACCGGCGCACGGGUGCGUAACGCGUAUACAAUCUGCCUUAUACUGGGGUAUAGCCUUUAGAAAUGAAGAUUAAUCCCCCAUAGUCUCUACUUGUGGCAUCACAUAUAGAGUAAAGGUUACGGUAUAAGAUGAGUAUGCGUUCUAUUAGCUAGUAGGUAAGGUAACGGCUUACCUAGGCAACGAUAGAUAGGGGCCCUGAGAGGGGGAUCCCCCACACUGGUACUGAGACACGGACCAGACUCCUACGGGAGGCAGCAGUGAGGAAUAUUGGACAAUGGAGGCAACUCUGAUCCAGCCAUGCCGCGUGCAGGAAGACUGCCCUAUGGGUUGUAAACUGCUUUUAUACAGGAAGAAACACACCUACGUGUAGGUGCUUGACGGUACUGUAAGAAUAAGCACCGGCUAACUCCGUG